rnacentral:rRNA from 1 species
UGGGGAAUAUUGCACAAUGGGCGAAAGCCUGAUGCAGCAACGCCGCGUGAGUGAUGAAGGUCUUCGGAUUGUAAAGCUCUGUCUUUUGGGACGAUAAUGACGGUACCAAAGGAGGAAGCCACGGCUAACUACGUGCCAGCAGCCGCGGUAAUACGUAGGUGGCGAGCGUUGUCCGGAUUUACUGGGCGUAAAGGGUGCGUAGGCGGAUGUUUAAGUGAGAUGUGAAAUACCCGGGCUUAACUUGGGUGCUGCAUUUCAAACUGGAUAUCUAGAGUGCAGGAGAGGAGAAUGGGAUUCCUAGUGUAGCGGUGAAAUGCGUAGAGAUUAGGAAGAACACCAGUGGCGAAGGCGAUUCUCUGGACUGUAACUGACGCUGAGGCACGAAAGCGUGGGUAGCAAACAGGAUUAGAUACCCUGGUAGUCCACGCCGUAAACGAUGAGUACUAGGUGUAGGAGGUAUCGACCCCUUCUGUGCCGCAGUAAACACAUUAAGUACUCCGCCUGGGAAGUACGAUCGC